CUCGUGCUAUCUAAUUCGCUUUAUUUAGAGAAAAAAAUACAUGCUGAAUCUGAACCGAAACUGUGGUCAUUGCUCCGAUUUUUUUGGUUUCUUUUUAUGUUGCCGUCGGCCCACCUUAUCCAUUUGACCGCUUAUCCAUCUCUCCUCGUGCUUCAUUGGCGUCCAGCUGCGGCAAUGGCGACGACGGCGGCCAAGAACAGUUCGAUCGGGAGGUCCAUCUUGUCACAGGCCAAUUGUGGUGACGUGACUGACCAGGUAGUUUUUCGGCACGGCGGCCAUGGGAGAAAUAAGAUCGGAGGUGCACUCACUUCAGCGGAGCCAUGUUCUUGGCUCUUUUUCCGUUGAUGUUGAAUCCUGCUCCAAGUUCUCCAACCGCAAGUAGCUGCUUUUGAAGUCCACCAAUUAUAUGCCAGGUUAUGCCAAGAACCACCAUAGAUCUGGUUUGUGGCACGACAGGGUUGUAUCUCCUCGUACAGGGUGUAUGUCUUUGGAUGCAUUACGACGACGCCGCCGGCGGCCAUGUGCGGCGGAGCGGCCAUCGUGAAGUUUCAUGCAUGCCCGACGAGUGAUCCGACUCGCCCAAUCUCAUCUGCAGCUGCAGUGUCGUAGCCUUCCCUCGGGUCUGCUCUCUCCAAGUCUGAUACACGCCGUGGAAAUAUGACGUCAGAUUGAAGAACACAUGAAUCACCAUGGAUCUCCUAGCUACCGAUGGUGCCUGUUUGAUCCAUGGCUCCAUGCCCUAUAAGUGUGCAUGACAUUAAUUUGCUUGUACGUACGCAUGAGAAACAGUUGGCAGUUUCCUUUGCACCCAUAUAAUCGAGUCAUGUUUCUUAUUGUUGAGGACGUAUAUGUUCCCUGCAAAAAAUUGAUGAUGUAUAUGUACUCCUUCUGAUGCAUAUGAACUGAUUUUUUUCAUGAACUUACCUUUUAUUUCAGAUGGAUAUACUAAUUGUUCUCAGAAUGGAUGAAUGCAUAUAUGUAUACUCCUUUUGAUGCAGUAUAUAUACUUUUUUUUGGUAUACACUUCUUCAGAAAGAAACUGCAGCACACUCUUCCAAAAAAUGCAGUAUAUAAUUCUUAAACAAAUGGCAGUAUAUACUCUUUGAGUAUUUUGUUGGUAUAUACUCCUUCAAAAAAAAUGGCAGUAUAUACUCCUUCAAAAAAAAUGGCAGUAUAUACGCCUUCAAAAAAAUGGCAGUACAUACUCCUUGAAUUUUGUUGUUAUAUACUCCUUCAAAAAGUUCAGCAUACACUACUUAAAAG